rnacentral:lncRNA from 1 species
UGUAAAUCCGACUGUGAAUCUGCAAGAAAUGUAAAUAACACAAGAUGUAUCGUGGUUCACCCCAAGGUUUGGGCUAUGUCCACACUGAUUGUAUUGUAUUUCUUUGAGAAGUGAGGGAGAGAGCCUCUGUAAUGAGAGGAGAUGUGAGAAGGGUGAGAAGGCUCCAGAUAUGGCAUCCCCUAAUUGUGAGGGAGAGGGGUCCUUUUAUAGAAUAAGGACUCCUCACUUAUUAUAUAUUUGUCCCUUCCUUUAUCACAUAAUUACAUUUAAGUCCCCCGCGUAUUUGUAUGAAAUCUAAAUACGAGACCCUAAAUAUGGUAUAAACAAGGGUAUUACACAUCAACUCAUGUGUUAUUGCAUAUAACUUUAUCCUAUUACUCAGACAAACAAUUAAACACAUAAAAACUCAUUAAGUGUAGAAAAAUCAUGUCAACCAAGUAAGACUAGCUUGAUAUUAGUCAUCCUCACUUAUUUAUCAACUCUUUUAAUCCUAGUUACAAUAAACCUAAUUGAUUGGUCAUACUCAUAGAUUUAUUUAAGUAUCUAGAUGAAAAAUUCCUAAGGAUGAUCAGUCAAUAGAAAUUCGAAUCUAGAAUAAAUUAACCAUAAAGAUUAAAAAUUUAACACGACAUAUAAUCGAAUAACAAUUAACAAAGUACUUCACAAAUAUUCAUGUCAUGGGAUCAUCAUAAACCUUAGAAACAACUUAGUUACACAUAGAAAUAAAAAUUAAAAUAAAAGAAAAAUAGAACCAGUGAUCAUAGAAAGGUACGUCCCUAAGCUCUUCUUCAUGAGUUGUGUAGAUGGUGUGUUAUGAUGGUAUGUGAUGAUGUGGGGGAUAUGAGAGAGAGCUUAUGACACACCCCGACCCGGAAUGUCCACUAGGACUCCGAAUCAAACUGUGCUGGCCAACACCUGGAAGGUGACGAAGCCAUAAAGUGUGAUGAUGUGGAAAAUUUGUGAAUAUACCUAAGAGUGCCUAUUACCAGAGUGCACUGGUGAGCGGGAAUGUACCCACUUCACACAUGAUGUUAGAGCAUAAGCAAGUAUAGAAAAGUGAUAUAAGAAUCAUACCCUCGGAAUAGCCUCCAAUACUAAGAAUCGCCGCGAGUCUUUGGUGAUAAUAAAACUCAGCUAAUAAUACUUGAAGGGUGAAGACAAGACAAGGGUGAGUGGCCCUGUAAGUAAAAUACGAAUAAAAAACAUAUAAAACAUGUAAUCCCUCGCUACAACACCUGUAUAAUUUCCAGAGAAAUCAUAAUGUACCACAACACAGCAUCUCAUAAAUAAUAUCAAAUAACCAUGUGAUUAAUAACUCAUAAUAGUACGCAAGUCAGAGUCACCAAGGGUGACCUAUACGACAUAUUCAUAUCUCAUCACAUAUCUCAUCAAUCAUGGCUAGCAUAUAAGUCGGAGUCACCUCUAAUGACCUAUACAACAUAUUCAUAUCUCAUCUCAUAUCUCAUCAAUCAUGGCUAGCAUAUAAGUCGAAGUCACCUCUAGUGACCUAUACGACAUAUUCAUAUCUCAUCACAUAUCUCAUUAAUCAUGGCUAGCAUAUAAGUCGGAGUCACCUCUAAUGACCUAUACGACAUAUUCACAAUCAUGGCUAGCAUAUAAGUUGGAGUCACCUCUAGUGACCUAUACGACAUAUUCAUAUCUCAUCACAUAUCUCAUCAAU